GGGGGAUAUUGCACAAUGGGGGAAACCCUGAUGCAGCGACGCCGCGUGGAGGAAGAAGGUUUUCGGAUUGUAAACUCCUGUCGUUAGGGACGAUAAUGACGGUACCUAACAAGAAAGCACCGGCUAACUACGUGCCAGCAGCCGCGGUAAAACGUAGGGUGCAAGCGUUGUCCGGAAUUACUGGGUGUAAAGGGAGCGCAGGCGGGGAGACAAGUUGGAAGUGAAAUCCAUGGGCUCAACCCAUGAACUGCUUUCAAAACUGUUUUUCUUGAGUAGUGCAGAGGUAGGCGGAAUUCCCGGUGUAGCGGUGGAAUGCGUAGAUAUCGGGAGGAACACCAGUGGCGAAGGCGGCCUACUGGGCACCAACUGACGCUGAGGCUCGAAAGUGUGGGUAGCAAACAGGAUUAGAUACCCUGGUAGUCCACACCGUAAACGAUGAUUACUAGGUGUUGGAGGAUUGACCCCUUCAGUGCCGCAGUUAACACAAUAAGUAAUCCACCUGGGGAGUACGACCGCAAGGUUGAAACUCAAAGGAAUUGACGGGGGCCCGCACAAGCAGUGGAGUAUGUGGUUUAAUUCGACGCAACGCGAAGAACCUUACCAAGUCUUGACAUCCUGUGACAGACGUAGAAAUACGUUCUUCCUUCGGGACACAGAGACAGGUGGUGCAUGGUUGUCGUCAGCUCGUGUCGUGAGAUGUUGGGUUAAGUCCCGCAACGAGCGCAACCCUUAUGGUCAGUUACUACGCAAGAGGACUCUGGCCAGACUGCCGUUGACAAAACGGAGGAAGGUGGGGAUGACGUCAAAUCAUCAUGCCCUUUAUGACUUGGGCUACACACGUACUACAAUGGCGUUAAACAAAGAGAAGCAAGACCGCGAGGUGGAGCAAAACUCAGAAACAACGUCCCAGUUCGGACUGCAGGCUGCAACUCGCCUGCACGAGGUCGGAAUUGCUAGUAAUCGUGGAUCAGCAUGCCACGGUGAAUACGUUCCCG
rnacentral:rRNA from 1 species